AAAGAAAGGUGCAACUGAAGACAGAUUGAAAAGCCUAAAAUUGUAGAAUAAAUGCCACAGUAAUAAAUCUUCAUGCCCAUGAGAUGGACAAGGCCCAGGAUAUGACCCAGACGUCUAAUCAGCAGAAGAAAGUACAGUUGAGUUACACAUCAUGAAAAUGUGAAACAUUCAAGCUGUAAAUGAUAACAUAGGAAAAAGGAAAGGACAGCUCACAGAAUGGAAGAAGUACUUAUAAAUCAGAUACCUCAUGAGACUUUUACCCACAGUAAAUAAAGAGCUCUUACAACCAAUAGUAAAAGUAACUCCGUUUUAAAAACCAGGCAAAGAAGCCAAGAAAGUAUCUGUCAGGCCAGUGAGCAAGCGCUCACCCUCUUCAGCAGUAGGAAAGUGCAGAUCAAAACUACCGUGAGCCAGCACUUCAUAGUUUAUCAAAAGGUCUGUGCUAACACAUUGUGGCAAAAACAUGAAGAAACUGUACCCUUAUACAUUGGUGGCAGAAAUUUUAAAUGAUGACGGCCACUUUGGAAAACAGCUUGGCAGUUUCUAAAAUGGUUAAGUGUAAAGUUACCCUGUGACCUAGCAAUUCAUGAGUAUAUGUCCAAGAGAAAUGACUAUGCAUACUAAAACUACAUGAAUAUCCAUAGUGGCAAUAUCCAUCACUUUGAUGUAGCUAACUAAAGUUGAUAUAUCCAUUCAAUAGAGUAUCAUUUAGUAAAAUGGACUGAGGGAUUGAUACUUGUAGUAUAGAUGAACCUUGAAAACAUGCUAAGCCAAAGAAGCUAGAAUAUUUUAUGACUGUUUAUGUAACUCUCCAAACUAGUCAAAUCUAUGAAGGUUGUUUCUGUGAGGGUUGGAGGUAGGAGCAGCUAGUGGGUAUGGAAUUUCUAUUUAGGGUAUGAAAUGUUUUCAGGUGAAUUUUACAACUUUCCUAUCCUUAUUUGUUGUAAGAUAUACAUAAGGUGUUGGGUAAAUACUUUACUAAAGGAUUAGGUAAUGUAGUCUGUACUCUUCAGAGUGCUUGUAAUGGCAGUAUUAAGUUGAGCGGGGGUGCUGAACUUGUUAACAUACACUGUACAGAACAGGUACAAGUCACUCAGUCUGCAGUACUCAGAACUCCUCUUUGAACCGUGUGCAGCACACAGUAAAGGACUUACUUAGUUCAUCAUGACUGUGACCGAAUACCUGGCGUGGCCCUUAAGGAAGGGUUGAUGUUGGUCUACAGUUCAGGAGUCCAGCCCAUGGUAGAGGGGAAGGCACAAGUGAGAUAGCCCUGGCUUUGAAGGAGGGCAUGGGGAGCAACUGGUCACAUGGUGUCCACCUCUGCAGAGAUGACACCACUGCUCAGCUUGCUUUCUCCUUUUUCUUUAGCCUAGAACCUUAAGCCAAUGGGAGAGUGCCACCCACAUUUAGGGAGGGUCCCCCUUCUGUAAAACCUCCCUGGAAAUGCUCCCACAGACAUGCCCAUGGGUGUGUCCCCAGUGAGCCUAAAUCCAGGUAGGUCAAAAUGAGAAUUAAUCCAUCACCUGGAGUGAGCUGUCCUGGUGUCAAUUCUACUUGGGAGUUUCAGCUGCUGCGAGGGUGUACCUGCCACACAAAACUGUUUGCUCACUAAGAGUUCAGUGAGUGGUCCCUCACUUUACAUUUGAUUUCUUUAGAUAAGGGAUUAGUGUCCAUUCUCAGCAUCAGCUGGAGCUAGUUAGACGAACACUAUUCUACUGAUGCAGAUAAUAUGAGCCAAGAAAAAUGACUUCACACCUGAGGAAGAAGCCCAUUCAGGCGGUGUAGGUGAAGCCCAUUAAGCCAGUAACUAGGAUUAGGUGAAAUCAGGAAAGCAGCCCACUGGUUUCCCGUGGCAUGGUGAUGUGGCAUGUUUGUGUUCCCUUGGUUUCUUCUUCUUUUUUUUUUUUUUUAACUUUCUGUCCGUAUUAGAUCAGUUAGUAUCCUUGCUAAUGAGUUUCUCUCCUGUCUGCUUCGUAGUCUGUGUUGAGCUCCCAUCUGGGAGUGUUUACAGCUCUAAUUGGGAAUGAUGAACCUGGGAAAGGGGCCUAAAAAUGAGGUGGACUAAAGUCUCAUGCGAUAGCCAGUUUUAUUCAGAGCAUCAGACAAUUUAUACUCUGAGAGUUAAAAAGAAUCACAUGAGUAAGGUUUUUAGUCACAAGACAAGCCACACAUGGCACAAACAUGUUUUUCCAUAGAGGCACAUGAGUAACAGCAGCUGAAGUAAACUCACUCCUAUCCACUAUACCUAGGAGGAGCACGAAGAAAUUCAGGCCACAAGACUCUUGGCGUUUUCUCGCAAGCACUCAGAAUUCUCACAUGACUCCAUUCUUCGACCAUGUUCCAACAUUAGGAGUAAAUGGAUAUACAUCCACAUUCAGUUCUUUACUGAUAGAGCUGAAUAAACGAAUUGAAAGAGUUGGAUUUAAUUAUUCUUGUUUGUGGUGUCCACUGUGAUUUAGUCAGUACUGCUCAAAAUCAAAAGUACUGAAAGUGUGAACUUUGUUUUUGUCGUUCAGGAUGUUGCCAGAGUCUGGCCUGGAACCAAAAUGCCUGGGCAGAUGGGAAACCAGAGCAGGACAGUGUAUGGACUGAAAGUGUGGAGAGUGAACACGAAGCACAACAUAAUCUACGUGAAUGGCUCUGUGCCUGGACACAAGAACUGCUUAGUAAAGG